CGGGGAAUACUCAAGUGGGUAAAAGAGGAUGGUCUUGAAAACCAUUAGGCGUGAAAGCGUGCGGGGGUUCGAAUCCCUCUUCCUCGG
rfam:Bacillus phage Deep Blue, complete genome.